UAGGGAAUCUUCCACAAUGGACGAAAGUCUGAUGGAGCAACGCCGCGUGAGNGAAGAAGGUUUUCGGAUCGUAAAGCUCUGUUGUUGGUGAAGAAGGAUAGAGGCAGUAACUGGUCUUUAUUUGACGGUAAUCAACCAGAAAGUCACGGCUAACUACGUGCCAG
rnacentral:rRNA from 1 species